CGGAAAUCAAAUAACUAUGUGUUCACCAAUUGAUGACGUUUUUCACAAAACGUGUGCUUGUCGCCGGCCAUUGCGGCAAAAAAGUGAACAGAUUUAACAGGUUUUCAACAGCUGCCUGAGACAUGUCACGUUUCUUCAAAGGGUCCGACUCAGAGUCGGAAAGCUCAUCAGGUGAAGAUGAGAUGCAACAGCAGAGACCGGUUGCCUCAAAAGCGUUUCAGUUCUCAGAUGAUGAAGAAGAAACUAAAAGAGUUGUCCGAAGUGAGAAAGACAAACGGUUUGAGGAGCUGACAACCAUAAUUAAAGGCAUGAAAAAUAAGAUGAAGAUUAAGGACUUGGGAAAUGUUCAAUCAGAGUUUGAUGCUCUCUGCAAGGCUUAUGAAAAAGCAAGAAAGGUUGUGGACAAAGAAGGGGUGCCAAGAUUUUACAUCAGAACUCUUGCUGAGCUGGAAGACUUCAUAACAGAGUGUUGGGAGGACAAGGAGGGCCGCAAGAAAAUGAACAAGACCAACGCAAGAAGCCUGACCACGAUGAGACAGAAGCUGAAGAAGUACAGCCGUGACUUUGAGAAGGAUCUUGAGAACUACCGGGCUAACCCCGAUGAGGGGGAUUUUGAUGAUGAACUGAAUGCACCGGCAGAUGACCUGGAGAGUUCGGAGUCCGAGGAUGAUCUUCCCCCAGCAUCUGCUUUCUUGAAGAAAGAAAAACCUGUCAAACCUGUCAAGCCUGCUAGAACCAUGGAUGACGAUGAUGAUGAUGACGAGUGGUCCGAAUCCGAGUCUGAUACUUCUGAUGAUGAAGAUGCUCCUGCAGAUUACACCAACAUGGCUGCCUACUUCUUAAAGGACAAAACCACUGAGGAGAAGAAGGACACGAAGGCUCAGAAAAAGAUGAAGCGUCGUCUGGCUGCCAAGGAUGCAGAGAAGGAGGAUGACGAGGGAGAGGGAGAGUGGGAGGAGGUCACCUCCAAAGGGGGUGCACCACUUGUGGUGGAGAAGCCAAAAAUGUUCGCCAAGGACACUGAGGUGAACCACGAAGCCGUGUCUAAGAAACUGUUUGAGAUUAUCUCAGCCCGAGGUAAGAAGGGUACCGACAGACAGGAGCAGAUCGAGCUGUUGAAGGAGCUCUACACGAUAGCAGAGACUAACAAUCUAGGCAUUGCUGUGUCCGUCAAGAUCAGUUUCAACAUCAUUGCGGCCAUCUUUGACUACAACCCUAACAUUGCCCAGUGUAUGAAAGCGGAGAUGUGGGACAUGUGUGUGUCCAAUGUGAAGGCCAUUCUUGUGAUGCUGAAGGAACACCCAGACAUCUCUGUGGGGGCAAAUAUCACUGAGGACAGUGAGAGUCUAGAGACAAGCCCUUACCGUAUCCGUGGCUGCAUCCUUACUGUGGUGGAGAGGAUGUGUGAGGAGUACACCAAGAUGCUGCAGGCCUGUGACGCACAUAGCACUGAAUAUGUAGAAAGGCUUCGUGAUGAUGUGACAGUGUGUAAGAUCAUUGAUGAUAUUGUUGUGUACCUGGAGGAGCGUGCCACAUCUGAGGAGAUCUGCAGGGCCUACCUGCGCAAAGUGGAGAGCUGCUACUAUAAGUCAGGUGACUGCAACGAGACCCAGAUGGACUUCCUGUGCAAGUACAUCUACACAAAAGACGUCACAGACCGCCUGCGCACGCGUGCAAUCCUGUGCCACAUCUACCACCACGCGCUGCACGAUCGCUGGUUCCAGGCCCGAGACCUGAUGCUCAUGUCCCACCUGCAGGACACCAUCCAACACUCAGAUGUGCCCACCCAGAUCCUGUACAAUCGGACAAUGGUUCAGCUGGGCCUGUGUUCAUUCAGACAGGGCAUGACUAAGGACGCUCACAACGCCCUUGUGGACAUCCAGAGUGGAGGCAGGGCCAAGGAGCUUCUGGCUCAGGGUCUGCUGUUACAAAGGCAGCAUGAGAGGACCCCUGAGCAGGAGAAGAUUGAGAAGCGGCGUCUGUUGCCGUACCACAUGCACAUUAACCUGGAGCUCCUUGAGUGCGUCUACCUGGUGUCGGCCAUGCUGAUGGAGAUUCCCUACAUGGCAGCCCACGAGAUGGAUGUUCGCCGUCGCAUGAUCAGCAAGAAUUUCCACCACGUGUUGCGUAUGAGUGAGCGCCAGACUCUGACAGGGCCACCAGAGAGCAUGCGUGAGCACAUUGUGGCCGCAUCCAAGGCCAUGAAGACUGGGGACUGGAAGGCCUGCAAGACCUACAUCAUCAACGAGAAGAUGAAUGCCAAGGUGUGGGACCUGUUCCAAGACAAGGACCAGGUGCGCGACAUGAUUGUGUCAAAGAUUCAGGAGGAGAGCCUGCGCACUUACCUGUUCACGUACAGCAGUGUGUAUGACACCCUCUCCCUGGUCACCCUCGCCCACAUGUUUGAGCUCGACGUCUACAAGGUGCACUCCAUCAUCAGCAAGAUGGUCAUCAAUGAGGAGCUCAUGGCCUCGUUGGAUGAGCCUACUGAGACUGUGAUCAUGCACCGCACGGAGCCUACGCGUCUGCAGGCCCUGGCCCUGCAACUUUCAGAGAAGGUCGGCAAUCUUGUGGAGAACAAUGAGCGGAUACUGGAGAUUAAACAAGGCAACUUCUUCUUCAAUAAGAAUCAGACCAAGCCUCUGAGAUUCUGGUGAUGAUCAACAACAAAACCAAGGUGGAUAUCAACAGAAUCAACAAAAUUGGAAUCGCCGCAAUCAGAGAGGCGACCGUCACGACCGUCAACAACAGAGAGCAUACUAGUUGACAUAAGUAAUAACGUUUAUAAAUAUUUACAUCGUCGGGUAUUGAGUAUCGCUGAAGACAGCAAAGGAAAACCAAGUGCUAGCAAUUUUAUUUACGUUGGAAAGUUGUUUAUUGUGUAGACCUGUAAUUUGCUUUGAGCCUCCUUUUGCAUUUAUUCUUUAACUUAUACAUUUUUGGUGUUUGGUUAUUGUUGCAACAACUAUAUAUUUACACUAUGCAGACAAAAUGUGAAUUUAAAAUGAGUUGUAAAAUUAAUAAAGUGAUACAUUAUAGCAUUUAUUUAAAAGAGCUGACAAAAUAUGAUCCAUUAUUUUUAUCUCAACACUGCUCUGUGUGUGUUCAACUUGUCUCCUAUCUUGAUAUUCUUAUUCUCGGGCACGUUUAUCUUUUUGAUUUUUCUUUAUGUAAAAUCAUGAUGAAUAUUAUGAAUAUACUACCACACUUUGUACCUGUACCAUCUUGACAUUGUGGGCAGACUGGGUUAUUAUGUUUCCAGUUGUUUCCAUAACCAGAACAUACUAAUCAGUCUGCCCUGUUCAAAAAACGUUUUUUGUCCUGUAAUUAAAAAGUAAUAAAUAAAACUUAGAAUUGUAAAA